AGAGGCAUUGAAUUUAGACUGGGUCAGAAUUUCAGUUCUAUUUUCUAUGCCUAAGUCUGGAGCUAUUAUUGGGAGGAGUGUUGCUAUCCGCGGCCAAUAAAGUCUAUUAAUUUAUAAAGGUUUUACAGACUGAAUUUCUUUAGCUUGUAGAGGUUGGUUUUCUUGGCUUUGGACUUCUGAAUCUAAAUCUUCCUCAAUUAUAUU
rnacentral:misc_RNA from 1 species